CCCCCACCGUGGAGAAGCUGCAGCACCUCCUGGAGCACAUCCAUCGCUCUCUCCUGGCAAAAAACACCCAGGAGAGAGCCAGGGCCGUCCAGACCAGCGCGGCCCUGCUCCAGUUUGCUACCUCCCUGCCUGGAUUUGACACCUCCUCCACCUUCUCCAAGGCAGGUGAAUUUGUGCUGCAGCUGGGUCUCUGUGCAUACCACCCAGCCAGUGACAUCAGUCGGCAUGCCAAGGGUGGGAUCAAUUGGCUGCACAAGCUCCUGCUCCAGAAGAGG